rnacentral:lncRNA from 1 species
UAUCUGAUGUUCUUAAUGAAUUUGGAGCAUGAAGUGGAGUCUGAUCACUCAUUAUCAUAUCAACAGGUAUGCCUGCAUCAUAAUUGUAUGUACAAUGUCAGUUGUUGACACACGAACUAAGGUAUUAUGUUUGACAAGAGAACACAUGACCUUCCACAGCUGGGGUGUGUCGUUGCUGGGUGACAGCAGACUACGCCCUGGGCCUGUCCACAGUGUCAAAACCUGUCCAAAAGAACACUUAAUUAACACGACUUUACUUGUGAUUCAUGAAAUGUAUGAGAAAAUGGAGUAACCAGGCGACAUGGCCACGGGUGGCUUAGAUAGAGUGUUGGUUCCAUUUAGAAUAGCAGACGUAACUUUCUUAGAUCCCUUGCCUCCUGUCUUAUUUUUUUAGUAUUGCAUCCCUGUUUACCUCUCCCUCUCCCUCUGUCUCUUUAGUUCUUUUGGAUCUGUUUUUUGACCUGCGAGGCAAUGACAUAUUCUGGAUUUAUGAGAUUGAAGUACGUAAGAGUACAUGAUAUAUGUAUAUACCUGAAUUGCCGUUGUACGUCAGGUCCUGAAAGGGAGUACGUGCCCCACUAUGCUCAGAGGAUGCCAUAUUGUCAACUCAGUUUGUCAUGCAGAUCAUGAUGUACUGUAAGUAUCAAAUUUCAUAGUACAAAUUACAAAUUGUCAGAUUAAAAGAGCAAUUUCCUUCUGUCUUCUGCCUGAUCAUCUAUACUUGCUAAUUCAAAUGAUCUAACCUGUGCGCUGGCAGGUCAGAAAGUAGUCAUAUGUCCUCGAGAUGCCGCGGGCCACACGGGGUGAUAACACCGGAGGUAGGGCAGCACGCCGGGUGGAGAACGUCGCGGCCACCAGGGGCGACGGCGGUGUGGCGACGACGGCGGGGCGAGGAGAGGUUGGGCAGCAAGGCGGGUCGAGGAAGGACGUGCACCGGGGUGGAGGACAUCGCGGCCACCAGGGGCUAGGGUGGCGUGGCGACGGCGACGGGGCGAGGAGAGGUACGGCAGCAAGGCGGGUCGAGGAUGUCCACCGGGUAAGGACGUCGCAGACACCAGCGCUGAUCGCGGCGGUUCCUGGCGUGGUGGCGGCGUAGAUCGUGGAGGUGCUGUUUAUUUCCCAGGAGUUGUCAUCGUGGGGCUGUGUAGCAUCCUGAACGGGGGAGUCUGCCGGCAGAACAUUUGUUGUGAACUGUCGAUCUGAUUGUAGUAUGGUUGACGUAACGUGGACAGUUAGAUGGUACCAAGUGAGUCUGAUCGGACGUGGGGGGUUAUCCUGUGUGCACUUUCUGGUGUGGAUGUAGGGGAAGUCAUGUUUGGUCUUUUAAUAGUAGUGUAGAAGUGUAGAUGUAGAUUUGAAUAUCUUUUUUUUAAUAUAUAUAUUUUUUGAAAUUCUGUUUUUUAUAAAAAAAUAAUUAAACAGAUUUUGAAAUUCAAUUCUGAAUAUUUUUUGAAAUUUAAAA